rnacentral:rRNA from 1 species
GACGAACGCUGGCGGCGUGCCUAAUACAUGCAAGUCGAACGCAGUUGGGACGGGUGAGUAACACGUGCGUCACCUCCCAUCAGAGGGGAUAACACUUGGAAACAGGUGCUAAACCGAUACUGAUGGAUGGACCCGCGGUGCAUUAGCUAGUUGGUGAGGUAACGGAUCACCAAGGCCACGAUGCAGGGACGACCGGAGAGGGUGAUCGGCCACACUGGGAUGGAGACACGGCCAAGACUCCUACGGUAUGCAGCAGUAGGGAAUCUUGGGAAAUGGACGAAAGUCUGACCGAGCAACGCCGCGUGAGUGAAGAAGGUGUUCGGAUCGUAAAACUCUGUUGUUAGAGAAGCGGUAUCUAACCAGAAAGCCACGGCUAACUACGUGCCAGCAGCCGCGGUAAUAC